AAAAAUUCAAAAUUACUCACUCAACUACUACAUCUACCCACCAAUCGACAUUUGAAAUGCGACAAAACGAGCCGCCAGGAAUGCCACGUGGCACAAAGACGCUGGCAUGGUUUAUGGAUCGUACGGGCAUUUUUGAGAAGCAGCAGCAGCAAAUGAUGCAAGUUAGGCGGAAUUCAUCGUCUGAUGGUGAGUUUUACGGUCAAAAUGAGUUAAAAAACGAGAAAUUUGGCUGAAAAUGAGUUAAAAAUCGAGGAAAAAUGCCUGUAAAUGAGCCAGAAGUCGAAAAAAUUGACCGAAAAUAAGUAAAAAAUCGUUGAAAUUUGUUGAAAAAUGGCCUGAAAGUCGAGAAAAUCGGCUGAAAAUGAGCCAAAAAUUUGGAAAAUUUGUGGAAAUUUUGGAUUUUCGGUGAUUUUUUCCACCCAAAAUUGAGUUUUCAUCACAGUUUCCGCCUGAAAAUCAGGUUUUACUAAAAAUUUCUAUUUAAAUUUCCGAUUUUCAGUCAGUUUUCGCAACAACCGAAAAUUCGAUUUCAAAGCGUUUUCCCAUUGAAAAAUUCGCUUUUAAGCACAUUUUUCGACCGAAAAAUGCGAUUUUCAGCCCUUUUUCUAUAUGAAGUAACAUUCUUGUAGGAAAAUUGGAGUUUCAAUACUUUUCCGCCGAGAAAAGUAGCUUUUUGUUCAUUUUUCUAUGUGAAAAUCUAUUUUUUAGACAGUUUCUUAUCUGGAAAAUCCAAUUUCAAGCACUUUUUCAGUUCAAAAAUGCGAUUUUCAGAACUUUUUCCUUCUGAAAAUGUGCUUUUCAGCACUUUUUCUAUAUGAACGUUGGAGUUACAAUACUUUUUCGCCGAGAAAAGUAGCUUUUUGUUCAUUUUUCUACCUGAAAAUCUAAUUUUUAGGCAGUUUCUUAUCUGGAAAAUCCAAUUUCAAGCACUUUUUCAGUUCAAAAAUGUGAUUUUCAGCACUUUUUCCUUCUGAAAAUCGGGGUUAAAGAGAUUAUUCGCUAUAAAAAAUCCAAUUUUCAUAGAUUUUAACCCCGGAAGCUUUGAUUUUGGAAGCUUUUUCAGUGCAAAUAUUGCAUUUUCCGCCCAAAACCUGGAUUUUCAGUCAUUUUUUCCCUAUUUUUCCUCCAAAAACCCUCAGAAACAACAGUUCCUCGACACCAUAUUUUCUUCUUUUUUUUGGAAGAUUUUCUUCAAGUGAUCGCCUGCCUGCCUGUCUUCUUCUUCUUCGUCGUCGUUUUUUCCCAUAAUUUCUCUGUUUCUCUCUCACUCUCUCUCUCGGUGAAGGGGUUGGAUAGUGUUCUACCAGCAGAAGCAUCCUGGAAACUGGAUUUUCCAUCCUUUUUCCGCGACUUUUUCUCGUCAUUAGAAGAAGAAGAAGAAGAAGUUCCUGGUUUAGGCUUCUGCUGCUGCUGUUAUAUCACUUUUUGGUCGGGAUUUUUCGACGUUAAAAGCUGAAAAAACGAGAUUUUCAACCUGAAAAACUUGAAAAUUUGGUCAAAUUUGAAGUUUUUAGAGCUAAAAAGAUCAAAAAAGCCUCCUUGAAUUGUCUGAAAUUCAAGUUUUCCACCUGAAAAUUUCAAUUUUCCACCUGAAAAUCGAAGCUUUUCAUCUUGAAAUUGCCGUAAAUCAAAAAAAAAAUUAAAAAAUUCCCCAAAUUUUGAUUUAAAAGAUUAAAAAAUUAAAAAUUCGCCGCAGCUUCAAAUUGCUAUUUUUGACUGAAAAUCUAAGCUUUUUGGAAAAAAAAUUACACAUUUUCGCUAAAAUGUAAGAUUUUCAGCUUGAAAUUCACAUUUUUUGAAAAAUAAUUCGAAAAUUCUGAAGAACUGAAAAUAAUUCGAAAAUUCGAAUUUCAACAAUAUUUUUGGCAUUUUUGUCUGGAAAUUUGCCUUUUAAUUGAAAAUUUUCCAGGAAAUUUGAAUUUUCCCUCAGAAAUUUGAAUUUUCAGUAGAAAUUUUGAAUUUUCAGUCAAAAAUUUGAAUUUUUAGUCAUGAAAUUUGAAUUUUUAGUCAUGAAAUUUGAAUUUUUAGUCAGAAAUUUGAAUUUUCAGUAGAAAUUUUGAAUUUUCAGUCAAAAAUUUGAAUUUUCUGUCAAAAUUUGAAUUUUCAGUAAAAAAUCUUAAUUUUUAGUCAAAAAUUUUUAAAAUUUCAGUCAGAAGUUUUUAUAUAUUUCUUUUUUUAAUUUUUAAAUCAAUUUUUGAGUUAAAAAAUUGCAUGUUUUGCUGAAAAUCUGAUUUCCAACACAAAUUUCGCCCUAGAAAUGCUAUUUUUUGCUAGAAAAUCGACUUUUUUUGCUGAAAAUUGGCCACAAAAUUUUGAUUCUAACUUUUUUUUUUCAAAAUUUGACCUUAAAAAUUCGAUUUUUUAACCGUUUUCCCCCUGAAAAAUCCCGCAAUUUAUUCAAUUUUCAUUCUUCAGACUCAAAAUCGACAACACCAUCGGCUCAGCAACAAUUUCAACAACAACAGCAACAGCAGCAAAAAAAGCAAAAACGAUAUCGAAAAACGUUGAGUCAACAGGGAACCACACGGAAAGAAGCAUUCGGUGGAAGUCAGGCUAUGAGUGAAAGUUCAGAAGAAGGCACAGCUAUUAUUUGUGAGUUUUUAUUUUAUUUUUUGGCUGAAAAAUACAAAAAAUUUGGGAAAAAAUCGAGAAAAAUGACUGGAAAAUGAAGAUUUUUUCGAUAAAAUUUAGGCUAUGAUCGGAAUUUUCUGUGAAAAUUCGAAAUUUCUAGCUGAAAAACUAAAAAUUGCUCCGGAAAAAACAAUUUUUUUAAUGCAAAAAUCGAAAUUCCAGCUUAAUAUUGUAAUUUUUUACUAAAAAUUCAAAUUCCCCCUGAAAAUUUGAAUUUACCUCAAAAAAUAAUUAUUUUUAACUGAAAGUUCAAAUUUCUGACUGAAAAUUCAAAUUUUGACUGAAAAUUGAAAUUUCUGACUGAAAAAUUCAAGUGUCUGACUAAAAAUUCAAAUUUUGACUGAAAGUUCGAAUUUUCGAUGAAAAUGUUCAAAUUUUUCCCUAAAAAUUCAAUUUUCUGACUGAAAAUUCAAUUUUCUGACUAAAAGUUCGAUUUUCUGUCUGAAAUUUCAAAUUUCUGACUGAAAAUUCAAAUUUCUGACUGAAAAUUCAAAUUUCAUGACUAAAAAUUCAAUUUUCUGACUAAAAAAUUCAAAUUUUGACUGAAAGCUCGAAUUUUCGAUGAAAAUAUUCAAAUUUUUGACCCAAAAUUUCAAAUUUUUCCCUAAAACUUCAAUUUUCUGAUUGAAAAGCUCAAAUUUUGUAUGAAAAAUUCAAAAUUUUCAGUUUCAAAUUCAAAUUUUGACUGAAAAAUUCAAAUUUUGACUGAAAAUUCAAUUUUAUGACAAAAAAUUCAAAUUUUGAAUUAAAUUCAAAUUUUUGACUAAAAGUUCAAAUUUUGACUGAAAAAUUCAAAUUUCUGACUGAAAAAUUCAAAUUUCUGACUGAAAAUUCAAUUUUAUGACAGAAAAUUCAAAUUUCUGACUAAAAAUUUGAAAUUCUAGCCGAAAAUUCAAUUUUAUAACUGAAAAUAUCAACAAAAAAAAAACUGAAAAAUUCAAAUUUUUCACUAAAAAAAACCUCCAAAUAUUCAAAAAUUCACCCAAUUUUCAGCCACUGCUCUGACGUCAUCAGGAGCCCCAAGCUGUGCCACACCAGGAAUUUCAGCCGCCACUACUACAGCUAACGGCAAUAAUAAUGAGGAAUAUUGGUUCUAUGACGUUGCAACUGAUGGAUAUUAUUACGAACAAAAUGGUGCAAAAGGAUGGAGGAGAAGGCAACCGAAUCAGGCGGUACAUAAAAGUGCUGGAAAAGAUUCGG
rnacentral:sRNA from 1 species